UCAUUGGAUUGUGCCGCUUCCCUUUGACCCUUUAACGCCAUACCCCUUCGGUAAAUAGGAAAUAGGAAAUACUUGCUUCCCCGUCUCCCUGUAGGCCCAGUGGGGUUUAGUAAAAUUGCGCCUGACAUGUAAUACACUAGAUGCUGCUGAAAGCCACGUGCUUAUUGUAAAACAAUUACUAGGAACUGGGAACCACAGUAGAUCAAGGACAAGGCUGCACUUUCACGUUUAUGUGUUAAUGGGGGAGCCCAAGGCCUCCGGCAGGUGGGGUGAGUGUUGCCCUUUGAACACGGCAUGACUUACAAGGGAUUUCAGGUAUCUGCUGGACGCUCUGGGCUGUUGAUUUGAUCACAGACACCACAUCCAAAGAGGAAAGCCUGGAGUGCUUUCAAUAGGAGGAAGUGGAAGGAAGAGAGAAAAAUAGAGUUAUGUUUCACAGACUUAUCCUCCUUGCAAGUUCACUUGUAUCAGCAGCACUGGCAAGUGACAACUCACCUGAAUUCAGAACUGUGCUCUUCUAGAAACACGGUAAGGUGAGAGGAUGAAGACACGCUUUAAAAGUUUGUGUCUGCAGGGCGCCUGGGUGGCUCAGUUGGUUGGACGACCGAUUUCGCCUCAGGUCAUGAUCUCACGGUCUGUGAGUUCGAGUCCCGCG